UUAAUUUCGAACGAUUUUAUUUUCUUUGUACACUGUAGCAUGGUUUAUAGAAAAAUUACAAUCAGAAAAAAAUGAUUUAUAAAAAAAAAUAUUAGAUCUUCUUCUACAAAGUUAUUUAUUAAUUAUAACUUUUCAAUAAACCCAGCUUGUGUGUAUACUGUUUGAGGUGUGUGUGCGUGUGUGUGUGUGUGUGUAAUGAGUGUGUGUGUGAGUGACACAUUAAAUCACAUAAUAUGCAUAGAGAAAAAUGUGUAAUCAAGAACGUUUUAUCCGUGCUACCACAAGUAUAUUGAAAUUUGUAUAGAUAGAUUCAUUUCUUAAUUACAACCUUAACUUUUUUGACAUAUAAGUAUUAAGUUUUUAUCCUACGCAUCUACAUGCAUCAUACAUUAAUUUCAAGUCAAACAAUUGGUCAGACGUAAAGAUAAACGUCAUACAAACAAUUAUAUAUAUGAUAUAUAUAUAUAUAUAUAUAAUGCUUCAAUUUCUCUGCAACAAUACUACAAUCAAAAACAAUUUUGAUCAGUGUAAACAAUUUAUUUUACAUAAGAUCAAUACUCUGACAUCAAAAAAGCGAUAAGAAUGGAUAAUGUAUAGUAAUAAAUAAAGUAUGAAAUGUAAAUAAUGGGUAUUUACAAGUAUGUAAAUGGCAAAAAAGCUAUAACAGAGACAAAAUAAUUGUUUUAUUUUUUGUAAAUAUAAUCUCGUAUGUAUUUGCAAUAGAUUCUGUCGCUUGUUUGCAAAAAUACAUCUCACGAUAAUAUUCGUGUUAUGUCAAACCUGUACACUUAAAACCUAAAAAACGUACAAUCCACAACACGUACCAACAUGUAAGAUACCAAUGUAUCUUUCGCAGCAAACAUGUGACAGAUUCAAU